UACGUAGGCAGCAAGCGUUGUUCGGAGUUACUGGGCGUAAGGGGUGUGUAGGCGGUUUUUUAAGUUUGGUGUGAAAUCUCCCGGCUCAACUGGGAGGGUGCGCCGAAUACUGAAAGACUAGAGUGCGGGAGAGGAAAGUGGAAUUCCUGGUGUAGCGGUGAAAUGCGUAGAUAUCAGGAGGAACACCGGUGGUGUAGACGGCUUUCUGGACCGUAACUGACGCUGAGACACGAAAGCGUGGGUAGCAAACAGG
rnacentral:rRNA from 1 species